CCCCCAUGUUAAUGUAAUUGACUGAUUAGUGAUAUUAUUAUCGCUCUGGAUCCAGGAAUAUCCCAAUAAACACAAUGAACCCCGGACUCACCCUCCGCUCCCAGCAGCCAGCUCUGCACUGAGUGCACUGAAUGACGUCACAGCGGAAAUGCCGAUUCCAGGAGGCGGAGUCUAUGCGUUUACUGAGACGCUGAGAAAGGAAGUGACGUCACGGAGCUCGAUCCGCCCGGCGCCAUGAUGGAUGAGGGCAAAGGUCUUAUUACUCUGUAGGAGCAGUAUGGGCAAUAGGCAGAAAGUAUAACAUUAGUUAGACGGGAUGGGGAAGGGCUACAUGUAGAAGGCUAGAAUGGGAUGUAUGAAUGUGGGCGGGGUUAUAUAGCAAU